rnacentral:sRNA from 1 species
AGAGAAAAUUCAUUGGAUUUCAAGGAAUUAAGCAAGUAAAGGUGGUGAAACUUCCGAUAAGGGUAAGGAGAUUGUACCCGAAGAUCGGGACUAGGAGUACUUCGACUCCCGAUAUUUCACUGCAGUGGCGAGUUUCCGUGGACUAGCG